GAUGAAGAACGCAGCGAAAUGCGAUAAGUAAUGUGAAUUGCAGAAUUCAGUGAAUCAUCGAAUCUUUGAACGCACAUUGCGCCCGCGAGUAUUCUGGCGGGCAUGCCUGUUCGAGCGUCAUUUCAACCAUCAAGCCCCCGGCUUGUGUUGGGGACCUGCGGCUGCCGCAGGCCCUGAAAACCAGUGGCGGGCUCGCUAGUCACUCCGAGCGUAGUAAUACAUCUCGCUCAGGGCGUGCUGCGGGUUCCGGCCGUUAAAAAGCCUUAUUUACCCAAGGUUGACCUCGGAUCAGGUAGGAAGACCCGCUGAACUUAAGCAUAUCAAUAAGCGGAGGA
rnacentral:misc_RNA from 1 species